rnacentral:tmRNA from 1 species
GAGCUUCCAAAGACUCCUGCCUGCGCCUAUAUUGUAGGUGCCGGCUUGCCGGCUAUGGCGAUAAACGUGCUGUGAAAUAAGCAGAGCGGACCCGGGGGCGGUACCCGGCGCCUCCACCAUUUCAGCCGACACCGGAACGCGGCAGCGAGACACCGGCUGAAAGACUGGGGGCGAAACAGGAUCGACGCAUGUGGUAAAGGCAGUAUUUUCGCUCGGUAUGGUACCCACCGUUAUCGGGCCAUGUAGUAGUUGCAAACGACAACACUGCUCCGGUCGCAAUCGCAGCCUAACGGCAGCGGGAGUAACCGAUCUUAAGCCCAGUCCGAUUGAGCUCGGGCUGGCGGGGUUCGGAACGCACCUGGCAACAGAAGCGUUCCACU